UACAGAGGGUGCGAGCGUUGUUCGGAAUACUGGGCGUAAAGCGUGGCAGGCAGGCGUCAUGCAAGACAGAUGUGAAAUCCCCGGGCUCAACCUGGGAACUGCAUUUGUGACUGCAUAGCUAGAGUACGGUAGAGGGGGAUGGAAUUCCGCGUGUAGCAGUGAAAUGCGUAGAUAUGCGGAGGAACACCGGUGGCGAAGGCGGCAUCCUGGACCGACAUUGACGCUGAGGCGCGAAAGCCAGGGGAGCAAACGGG
rnacentral:rRNA from 1 species